GGUGAGUAACACGUGGGUAACCUGCCCUGUACUCUGGGAUAAGCCCGGGAAACUGGGUCUAAUACCGGAUAUGACCACUUUGCGCAUGCUUGGUGGUGGAAAGUUCCGGCGGUACAGGAUGGACCCGCGGCCUAUCAGCUUGUUGGUGGGGUAAUGGCCUACCAAGGCGACGACGGGUAGCCGGCCUGAGAGGGUGACCGGCCACACUGGGACUGAGACACGGCCCAGACUCCUACGGGAGGCAGCAGUGGGGAAUAUUGCACAAUGGGCGAAAGCCUGAUGCAGCGACGCCGCGUGAGGGAUGACGGCCUUCGGGUUGUAAACCUCUUUCAGCAGGGACGAAGCGUGAGUGACGGUACCUGCAGAAGAAGCACCGGCU
rnacentral:rRNA from 1 species